rnacentral:rRNA from 1 species
UCGGCGCUAAUACCUCAUAAUGCAGCGGAUCCGCAUGGAUAUGUUGUUAAAGGUUUACCGCCUUGGGAUAGGCUUGCGUCUGAUUAGCUAGUUGGUGUGGUAAAUGGCACACCAAGGCUACGAUCAGUAACUGGUCUGAGAGGAUGAUCAGUCACACUGGAACUGAGACACGGUCCAGACUCCUACGGGAGGCAGCAGUGUAGGAAUAUUGGGCAAUGCACGAAAGUGUGACCCAGCAACGCCGCGUGGAGGAUGAAGGUAUUCUAUAUCGUAAACUCCUGUGAGAGCAGACGAAAGACAGAUUAUUAAUUUGGAUGACUGUAUGCUCAGAGGAAGCCCCGGCUAACUACGUG